UACGUAGGGGGCUAGCGUUGUCCGGAAUCAUUGGGCGUAAAGAGCGUGUAGGCGGCCCGGUAAGUCCGCUGUAAAAGUCAAAGGCUCAACCUUUGAAUGUCAGUGGAUACUGCCGGGCUAGAGUCCGGAAGAGGCGAGUGGAACUCCUGGUGUAGCGGUGGAAUGCGCAGAUAUCAGGAAGAACACCAACGGCGAAGGCAGCUCGCUGGGACGGUACCGACGCUGAGACGCGAAAGCGUGGGGAGCGAACAGG
rnacentral:rRNA from 1 species